rnacentral:lncRNA from 1 species
GGGUUGUACUGGUCUAUACUGGUUUAUACUGGUCUAUACUGGGCUGGGCUGGGUCGUACUGGGCUGUACUGGGAGGUACUGGUUUGUACUGGUUCAUACUGGUUUAUACUGGGAAGGGGAGGAAGUGGGUUCUCUGGUUCCUAUGGGUCUUUGUGGGAUUGUACUGGUCUAAACUGGUCUAUACUGGUUCAUACUGGUCCAUACUGGUCUCUACCGGUGCAGGUUCUGCCGAGCCCGCGCCGCCGUCCAAUCAGCGCUCUCUGCUGGGAUCCCGACGGAACCCGAUUGGUCGGCGCCCAAGUGGGCGGGGCCUUGCUGCUGUGGGCGUGGCCGGAAGGAGACCCGCUGUGGGCGGGGUCUGCGGGAGCCACGCCCCUUCCGGCUCAAGCCCCGCCCCUCGUCUUGGGUUAUCCCGGAGGUCACGUGACCGCGGUGGCCUUUGCCCCGCCCACUGCGCCGGGGGAGGGGCCAAGCAUCAUCACUUCCGGGCCCGGGGGGAAGGUUCUGCGCUGGCCCUCGUGCCGCGGCCGCUUGCACGCCGAGCUGCGCCUCCCCCCCCGUGACAACCACGACGGUGACGUCACGCCCGGCUCACGUGACGGGGGCCCCGGGUCACGUGACGAGGGCCCCGGGUCACGUGACGCCGGGCCGGGGCUGUGCGUGACCUUUGACCCCUGGGGGGCGCGGGUGGCGGUGGCGCACGGCGGGGCCGUGGUGGCCGUGCACCGGGCGCCGUGGGGUGCGUCACCUUGUCACCUCCGCUGUCCCCUCCGGGGUCAUUGUCACCUCUGUUUCCCCUCGGUGUCACCUCGGUGUCAUUGUCCCCCCCCUGUGUCCCCUCGGUGUCAUUCAUUGUCCCCUCUGUGUCCCCUCUGUGUCCCCUCGGUGUCACUCAUUGUCCCCUCUGUGUCCCCUCGGUGUCAUUGUCCCCCCUUCUUUGUCCCCUCUGUGUCCCCUCGGUGUCACCCGUUGUCCCCUCUGUGUCCCCUCCGGGGUCAUUGUCACCUCUGUGUCCCCUCGGUGUCCCCUCGGUGUCAUUGUCCCCCCCCUGUGUCCCCUCGGUGUCAUUCAUUGUCCCCUCUGUGUCACCACUGUCCCCUCUGUGUCCCCUCGGUGUCAUUGUCCCCCCUUCUCUGUCCUCUCUGUGUCCCCUCUGUGUCACUCACUGUCCCCUCUCUGUCCCCUCGGGGUCACUGUCACCUGUGUCCCCUCUCUGUCCCCUUGGUGUCACUCAUUGUCCCCUCUCUGCCCCCUCUGUGCCAUCAUUGUCCCCUCUGUGUCCCCUCUGUGUCAUUGUCACCCCUUCUGUGUCCCCUCUGUGUCCCCAUUGUCCCCUCUGUGCCAUUGUCACCCCUAUGUCCCCCUGUGUCGCUCAUUGUCCCCUCUGUGUCCCCUCAUUGCCAUUGCCAUUGUCAUUGUCAUUGUCAUUGUCCCCUCCCUGUCAUUGUCCCCUCCGUGUCCCCUCCCUGUCAUUGUCAUUGUCCCCUUCCUGCCAUUGUCAUUGUCAUUGCCAUUGCCAUUGUCCCCCCCGUCAUUGUCAUUGUCCCCUCCCUGUCAUUGUCCCCUCCGUGUCCCCUCAUUGCCAUUCAUUGUCCCCCCCUCUCAUUGUCAUUGUCCCCCCCAUCACUGUCAUUGUCCCUGUCAUUGUCAUUGUCCCCUCCGUGUCCCCUCCCUGUCCUUGCCAUUGUCCCCCCUUGUCAUUGUCAUUGUCCCCUCCCUGUCAUUGUCCCCUCCGUGUCCCCUCAUUGCCAUUCAUUGUCCCCUCCCUGCCAUUGUCAUUCAUUGUCCCCUUCCUGCCAUUGUCAUUGCCAUUGUCAUUGUCAUUGUCCCCCCCUGUCAUUGUCAUUGUCCCCUUCCUGCCAUUGUCACUGUCCCCUCUGUGUCAUUGUCCCCUCCGUGUCCCCCCCAUCAUUGUCACUGUCC